UGCAGUAAAAGAUAGUGAAUAAUUUCUUGAUGAAAAUAAUCAUGCAGAGUUAAGGAAUUAAAAUAUAGAUAUAAAAAUUGUGAUAGUCUAUAAAUUAUGAGAGGUUUACAAAAUUCAUUUCUUAUUAUUCAUAGGGGUGUAUAGAGGUUGGUUUGGAUCAAAUUCGCUCUAACCCAUCACCUUGUCCGUUUAGAUUUCAAUGGGUUGGAUUCAUCAUCUAACAUGAAAUUUCAUGAUCAAAAUACAACCGAACUGGCCCGAUCAUUUAUGGGUUGAGUUGAGUUGGAUUCAUGAGUUUUAUUUCAAAUAAAAAAUAUUUUGAUAAUUUUUUUUCCAUUUAUAAAAUACUUAUAACACAAUUCAAUACAAAUGUGCACAUUUUCAACAAUCAAAUUUAAUAAAACACGGCAUAUUCAUACAUAUGUCAUAACAUGAUAGGGUGUUUAGCUUUGAAGAAUGCCUUAAUUCUAUCAAUUUUUUGUCGUGGAGGUGGCUAUCCUUAUGUCACGACAAAAAUAAUUAUUCUUUUCAAGAAUGGUUCUCCUCUCCUCUUGAUUUUCUCUAGGGUGCGUCCCUUUGUAUUCGGGUUCGAGUAUCCCUAAUACUCGUUUAAUGAAUUUUGUCGCAUAUUAAAAAAAACACUUAAUGAUAGUGGAAAAUUUCACAAAACAUAUCAUUUCUAUAAAUGUAUAUUCGGGUUCGAGUAUUCCCUUGAUUAUCUUACAUGAAUUAAUUGGUCAAUUAUUGGUCUAACAAUAGUAUUGGCUGUGAAUAAAAAAUUUGGAUAAAAUUGUGAUUUGCAAUGAUAUGUAAUUUUGCAUUUUAAUUUUUUUAAAAUAACCGAUGAACAUAUCAAUGGGUCCACGGGUUGAGAAAAUUAAACUUGAUAAUCAAACCAAAACUAUGGGAAUUUGAUCAAAUAAACCCAUAAAUAAACUAGUUCGAGUAAUUAGUAAAUUGAUUUUAUUUUGAUCGACCCACACCAAUAAACCGUCUAAACUAUAUAGUCUCUUUAUUAGAUAGAUAGAAGAGACAAACAUACCUCAUUUUGAUAAUUAAGAGACAUUAAUAAAUGAUUAUAAUUAUAUAAAGAACUUUUAUAACUUCAAAAGGGGUAAAACUACAAUUAAAUUAUUAAUAUAAGAAUAAAAACUUUAUAGGCUAUAAAGAGAUGAAAUCAUAUUUUGUCUUUUACAUACAAAGUGAAAAAAAAUGGCUAGAGUUCUCAAAUUAUUUUACAUUUGGAUUCUUUAUAUUUCGUUAUAUGUUUUCACAUCACUUGUUGUUGGAAAAUUUAUUAAAAUUCCAAUAUUGAAAUGUAAAACUGUUGCCGAUUGUCCAAAAUAUAUUACCAAAUUGGUAUUUAUUAUGUGUCUUGAUCAGUGUUGUACGAUUGUACACUAGGAGUGUAAUUUUAAAAAGAUAAACAUUUAGUAUAUGAUGAUAGAAUGUAUCCUAUAAUAGAUGAUAUGGAAAAUUAAAUAAUUUUAUAGUUAAAUAUGAGUCAUAAUCACUUCUAAAAUAGUUGUCAUAAUUUCAAUCAUAAACUUAAUGAUAAUCAUCCGCAAUAUAAUUCAAUUAAAAAGAAAUUAUGUUAUUUCUAAUGUUAUUUCUUGUAUUUAGUGUGUUUUAUUUUUUAUUAGGUUUUAAUUGUUGAUAUCUUCAUUAGAGUUAUGUCAAGUGUUUUUUUUUAAAUAUAUUAUUUUAUGUUUACUACAA